rnacentral:misc_RNA from 1 species
UUAAUAGGGAUGGUAAAUUCGAUUCCGAUUCUACUGGAGAAUCGAGUUUUCUCGUAAAAUAACCGAAUUUUCGGAAUCUAUCUUCAGUAGUCGAAGUCGAUUAAGAAUCGCUUCUUGAUAUUCGACUUUGUCCCACUCUGUCAUAAGUCGGCUACCGCGAGCAUUGAAUGGUGUUGUUUGAUUUAUCGCGCUUGUGGACAAUUUAAAGGAAAGUUAUUGAGUAAAAUUUACUUAUCGGUACCAUCUACGUACUAAAUUGUGUGAGUCAAAUUUACUUAUCAGUACCCUUUACGUCACGGGCUAUCAGAACAAAAUAUUUUGGAUGCAAUACNUGAACUAGAAUCUGACGAAGAAGACAAUUUGGAGUUGGAGCUUUGUAACUUUGAUGAGGAUUCUUGGGACAGUGUUGCAGAUGCCGAAUAUCAACCAGAAACGGAGGAAUUAAAUGAUGUCGAAGAAAAUUUGAUACACGUAAUCAUAAAUGCAGAAGAAGCUGAAACAGAAGAAAGGGAGGAAACACCUGGAAGCAGCAAACGUAAAAAACAGAAACUUAGUGAAGGGAGAAGAAAUGGAAGAUUAGCUGCUCAAGAAAUUCGUGAAACAGAAGAGUAAGGCACCUACCCUUGCUGCCCUAGGUCAAAAACCUCCNUCCAUAAAUAUUUUUCACAUUCGCCCUGGCCCAACAGCAAAUGCAAAUAAUUCAUUGUGUCCUUCCAGCUGCUUCAAACUAUUUUUUUCCGCAGACAUAUUGGAAGAGAUUUUGGUUUAUACAAAUAAAGAAAUAAACAUUCACAGGAAGAACUAUAACGAUAAAACUCACGCGGUUUUGUCAAAUUUGGAAAUGGACGAACUUGAAGCAUUCCUUGGUUUGUUAGUCUUGUCCGCUGCUUUCAAAGAUAAUCACUUGGCAACACAUAUUAUGUUUGACACUACCUACUGUGCGGAAAGGUAAAAGGCAACCAUGCCUGAGAGAAGGUUCAAAUUUAUCCUAAAUUGUCUAAGAUUCGAUGACAAAGAAACAAGAACUGCUAGAAGAGAAAUGACCAAACUAGCUCCAGUUUCUUCUAUUUGGGACAAACUUCUAAAGAAUUGCAGGGGCAUUAGAGGCAAAUUUCCAUUCAGGAUGUAUAUUCCCUCUAAACCGAAAAAGUAUGGGAUCAAAAUUGUCAUGUCUUGUGAUAGCGGAACAAAGUAUAUGUUGGAUGCCAUUGUUUACCUUGGAAAAGGGCACAAAUCGNAAUGUCAGGAUAGACUAUUGGUUUACGACUGUACCACUCAUUCAACGUCUCCGUCAUGAAUACAAAAUAACAACUGUUGGCACAAUAAAAAAAAAAACAAAAUAAACCACAAUUGCCUAUUGAAGCUACAGAUAUAAAGUUUCAAACACGAACCGCAUCCACUUCAUUGUUUAUAUUUCAUGAGGAUUUGACAGUUGUAUUAUGCAAACCCAAUAAUAAUAAACUUGUAUUAUUGGCGUGUUGUAUGCACCGUACAGGUAGUAUUCAGAAAUAGUGUAUGUGUACAACUCAACAAAAGGAGGAGUUGACAGUUUUGAUCAGAUGUGCCAAAACAUUAACCAUGGCAGGAAAACCAGGAGGUGGCCUCUAGCAUUUUUCCAAAAUAUGAAGAACAUAACUGCAAUAAACGCAUACAUCGUUUACGCGCACAACAUGUGUAGCCAUGGGCAAGAGCCAGAAUCCCGACUUAAUUUUAUGUUAUCUCUACACAAGGAGUUAACGGGAGGAUUUCAAAGGAAAAUAUUAGCUACUAAUACAAACAUGAGUCUGGCGUUGAAAAAAUCCAUUCAAAGUAUUGUAGGCACAAGUCAAGAGGCCCAUAGCUCCGGAGACGACCAAAAGGNGAAGAAAGUCUGUAAUUUUUGUAGUUAUACCAAACGUAGAUACACCACAACUUAUUGCAAUUGUGGAUUAGCUAUUUGCGGUGAACAUGCCCAAAAAAGUGCCCUGACUGUGCUUGAAAAAUUUCUAUGCA